rnacentral:tRNA from 1 species
GGGCGCUUGGCGCAGUGGUUAGCGCGCCUCGUUCACAUCGAGGAGGUCAGAGGUUCAAAUCCUCUAGCGCCCA